AGGACUUUUGCAUAUUGCCAAAAAGAGAACGGGGAGACAUAGUUUCAGGUUUGGGUAUACAGCAAGUCUUGAAGGCAUGCCCAUAGUGAGGACUUUGAUGAAUGGCUCACCACUUCUCCCACGACCCAUCCAAACCUGUAGUGUUAAGGAAGUGAGGUGCUAUUGCUCUUUUAGUAGGCUGGGACACCAGGCCACCACAAUUAUUAAAAAUGUAGGGUUAUUUCAGGAAGGUAGAACAUAUGCUGACCAUACGAAAUAUAUUUUUAGGCAGAUCUUAUCUGGAGAAUGUCGCUUUUGAUGAAGGAAACUAGGUAAAAAUUAUCUUGCUACUCAGAAGAAUUGUUUUAGGUAAGAUAGAUCAAUGGCAAAGAUACUUAAUUGGUUUAAUCACUUUGAAGUCUUGAGGAUGGCCACACAAAUCUGUCUUUCUGAGUAUGGAGAGGGAAAGACCUUGUCUCCUUCAUGUCCAUGUUCUUUUCUCAGUGCUGUUGUCAGGAGCUAGUUGCCACACUUCAAUACCCCCAGGCUCCAAACAGCAUAGGCGAGGGUGGGCUUAGGAUGUGGCUUGUUGCAUAUGUACUUGGUGAUUCCUCCUUGGGCUGGUUUCCUCGUCUACUGAUGGCAAAGUGAAUGUAUCUGUGCAUUGCCAAGUGGCCCUCCCACCCCUGCUCAACGUCUCGUCAUACAUUAUAAUGAGCAGCAACCUCAGCUCUAUGGGGGUAGCCUCAGAAUCUUCCUCCAAGCUAUGACUUUGCGAUGCAGGCAGAAGGACAGGGAAUUGUGUGUGCUUCCUUUUUACCUCUCUCUUUUACUCUCAGCAGACCACUCAAAUGAUGAUGAGCUGCCAAGCUAUAAAUCGUUGAAGAUUCUCUGGCCAGGGAAGCUAUGAAAAAGGAGAGAACUGGUAGGGAGAAAAGAUAGGAGAGCAACACACAUCUUUGCUUCAGGGAUCCAAGGAGGACCACCACAUGAUGAUUUGAAGCUGAACACACCUAUGUCUUGGCUUAUGUCUACACAUCAAGGAAUCAGCUGAGCAGGAAGACUGCCUUGAAGAAACAGAAUCUGCUAUAAGAAUACUAUCAGGAAAGAAUGGUCAAGUCAGGUGAAACCGCUGCUAUUGUAUGACUGUGAGUAUUUGCCUUUGUCUCCAUAUGUGUUUUGGUUUGCAGCCAUUAAUAGCUUGGAUACCAUGAAGCAGUGGCAAAGGGGAGUGUGUCAGAGCAGCAGGCCAAAAUUAAAUUACAGCAACCUCGCACUUUGCAUUAAAACCUUCACUCAGAGAUGGAGGCUGGUAAUCACGUCCAGAUUUUCCUUAAAGACAAUGGCCCUCCAUGCAACUGGCCACACUCAGUUAAUUCAUGCUGUCAGCUGCCUUUAUUGGCUGUGGGGAAUCCAGUAUUGAUUCUUGAACUCAGCAGCAGCACAAAGAGCCACUAGUGCAUGGUCAAAAUGCUGCAAUAAAGGGCUGGCAGCUUGAGAAAAGCAGCCAUUCCAUUGCACAAACAAGGUCAAUUAGAGGACAGUGCAGUGUAAUAUAAAUAGCAUUAGCAUCCCUCUUCAACUCCGAUGA
rnacentral:lncRNA from 1 species